GAUUGCCUUCAGCAAGCUCAGCUACUCACCAUGGCAGUUAUUCAUCUCUAUGAAGAAAUGCAUUGAGUGCAUAUUAUAUGUCCUUCAUGGCUUUCGUCUGAAUGAGAAAGAGUGUGGUUUGGAAGGCCAGUGGCCAGAGAUGGGUAACCAAGUUCUUGAGCUCCUAUUGACCUAAGACAGAGACAUACAUCAAAAAGCAAUGGAAGAGGUCCAUGACAGACAGGAGCAAGUUGUCCUUCAAGAGGCUCCACCCAGCAACUGACUCAGACAGAUACAGACACCCAAAGGAUGGAGCUUGAGGACUCUUAUGGAAGAAUUGCAGGCCCUGAAGGGGAUAGGAACUCCACAGGAAGACCAAUAGAGUCAACCAACCUGGAUCCUUUGGGCUCUCAGAAUCUGGACCUAGGCCUCCCCACUUAUGUAGCAUAUGUGCAGCUUGGUCUUCAUGUGUGUCCUGAACAAUUAGAGCGAGGGCUAUCCCUAAAACUGUUGCCUGUACUUGGGAUUCUACUAGCGGGGCUGCCUUGUCUCAGUGGGAGAGAAAGCACCUAGCUUUGCAGAGACUUGAAGUGCCAGGGUAUGAGAGGAGGUACCCAGGGUGGCCCCAAUAUGCGCAAAGGAGAUGGGGAAAGAACUGUGGGAAGGUGUAACUGAAAUGGUGGCAGUGAGUGGGAUGUAAAGUUAAUAAAUAAACCAAUAUCUUUUUAAA
rnacentral:lncRNA from 1 species